rnacentral:rRNA from 1 species
UGGGGAAUAUUGCGCAAUGGGGGAAACCCUGACGCAGCGACGCCGCGUGUGGGAUGAAGGUCUUCGGAUUGUAAACCACUGUCGCGAGGGACGAAGCUCUGACGGUACCUCGAAAGGAAGCACCGGCUAACUCUGUGCCAGCAGCCGCGGUAAUACAGAGGGUGCGAGCGUUGUCCGGAAUCACUGGGCGUAAAGGGCGCGUAGGCGGCCCGGUAAGUAGGGGGUGAAAUCUCAUGGCUCAACUGUGAGGCUGCCUUCUAGACUGCCAGGCUUGAGCACAGUAGAGGCGAGUGGAAUUCCCGGUGUAGCGGUGGAAUGCGUAGAGAUCGGGAAGAACAUCGGUGGCGAAGGCGGCUCGCUGGGCUGUUGCUGACGCUGAGGCGCGAAAGCGUGGGGAGCAAACAGGAUUAGAUACCCCCGUAGUCCCUGAGCGGGCUGGCAAGGCGCAU